UACGUAGGGGGCAAGCGUUGUCCGGAUUCAUUGGGCGUAAAGAGCGUGUAGGCGGUCCGGUAAGUCCGCUGUGAAAGUCGGGGGCUCAACCCUCGAAUGCCGGUGGAUACUGUCGGCUGGAGUGCGGAAGAGGCGAGUGGAAUUCCUGGUGUAGCGGUGAAAUGCGCAGAUAUCAGGAGGAACACCAAUUGCGAAGGCGGCUCGCUGGGCCGAUUCCUGACGCUGAGACGCGAAAGCUAGGGGAGCGAACAGG
rnacentral:rRNA from 1 species